rnacentral:rRNA from 1 species
ACUCUGAGACAGGUGCUGCAUGGCUGUCGUCAGCUCGUGUUGUGAAUGUUGGGUUAAGUCCCGCAACGAGCGCAACCCUUAUCCUUGUUUGCCAGCGAGUAAUGUCGGGAACUCCAGGGAGACUGCCGGUGAUAAACCGGAGGAAGGUGGGGACGACGUCAAGUCAUCAUGGCCCUUACGAGUAGGGCUACACACGUGCUACAAUGGCGCAUACAGAGGGCAGCAAGCUAGCGAUAGUGAGCGAAUCCCAAAAAGUGCGUCGUAGUCCGGAUUGGAGUCUGCAACUCGACUCCAUGAAGUCGGAAUCGCUAGUAAUCGUGGAUCAGAAUGCCACGGUGAAUACGUUCCCGGGCCCUGUACACACCGCCCGUCACACCAUGGGAGUGGGCUGCAAAAGAAGUAGGUAGUUUUACCUUCGGGAGGACGCUU